UACGAAGGGGGCUAGCGUUGCUCGGAAUCACUGGGCGUAAAGCGCACGUAGGCGGCUUCUUAAGUCAGGGGUGAAAUCCUGGAGCUCAACUCCAGAACUGCCUUUGAUACUGAGAGCUUGAGUCCGGGAGAGGUGAGUGGAACUGCGAGUGUAGAGGUGAAAUUCGUAGAUAUUCGCAAGAACACCAGUGGCGAAGGCGGCUCACUGGCCCGGUACUGACGCUGAGGUGCGAAAGCGUGGGGAGCGAACAGG
rnacentral:rRNA from 1 species